GUUCGCUUCGGCAGCACAUAUAAUAAAACCGGAACAAUACAGAGAAGAUUAGCACAGUCCCUGUGCAAGGGUGACACGCAAAUUCAUGAAGCAUUCCAUAUUUUU